rnacentral:rRNA from 1 species
GACGAACGCUGGCGGCGUGCUUAACACAUGCAAGUCGAACGGAAAGGCCCUGCUUGCAGGGUGCUCGAGUGGCGAACGGGUGAGUAACACGUGGGUGAUCUGCCCCUUAUUUUGGGAUAAGCCUGGGAAACUGGGUCUAAUACUGGAUAGGACCAUGCUGUAGGUGGUGUGGUGGAAAGAUUAGUUUCGGUAAGGGAUGAGCUCGCGGCCUAUCAGCUUGUUGGUGGGGUAAUGGCCUACCAAGGCGUCGACGGGUAGCCGGCCUGAGAGGGUGGACGGCCACAUUGGGACUGAGAUACGGCCCAGACUCCUACGGGAGGUAGCAGUGGGGAAUAUUGCACAAUGGGCGCAAGCCUGAUGCAGCGACGCCGCGUGGGGGAUGACGGCCUUCGGGUUGUAAACUCCUUUCAGCCAUGACGAAGCCCUUGUGGUGACGGUAGUGGUAGAAGAAGCACCGGCUAACUACGUG